CCGGCUUAGGAUCGAUAAGAGCAUAAGAAACAUAAAAUAUAAAUGCAUAUAAAUAGUUCAAUAUGCAAAAUAGACUAACACCACUAGCCACGAGAUAAUACUAUAACCAUAAGAUAAUACUAUUAAAGCUAUAUAUCCGAAAUCAUAGAUAUCACUCAACAUCACAAAUAAGAAACUUCAGACACAAAUAAAGAACGCUCUCCUACUAUUACCGACACACUUCCACCCCU
rnacentral:lncRNA from 1 species